rnacentral:tRNA from 1 species
GUCAGUUUGGCCGAGUGGUUAAGGCGUUAGACUGUUCGUAUCCCCUGAAUUCCUUGCAUUCCUGAUCCGUACUAACCCCCACCUCAGUGAACUACCUGGACUAUGUCCUUCAUGUCUCAUAAUCUAAUGGGUUCGCCCGCGUAGGUUCGAACCCUGCAGCUGACG